GGUCAUUUCACGGUCAAAUAGUUGAAAAACUCCAUUUUUAAGGUUUUUUAUUUAAUUCUAGCUUCAGGUUGUGUGACAUUUAAGAUUUAUCAAUCUUAGUUUGAAAAAAAAUUAGUCGUGACCUUAAACUUCACUUUGGAGCCAAAGUCGAAAUUACUUCGAAGUCAAAGGUCAAAAUAAUGAAUGUGAAUCAUGGAGAAAAGUGUUUACCUUGGAUCUUGAUUCUGAUGGUUACUUUGACCUUUCGAUUCAAAGGUCAAGGUCAUUUCAAAUUCAAAAAGUAAAAGAAAAAAUUAUAAAUAAAUGCUGAUUAUAAACAUAAUUUUGACUUCAAUUGACGAUAUUGCAUGGUGAAAAUUUUUCUCCUGUCAGCGUUCCCCAGGAAUAACGACUUUAACGUGGCAGAACUUUGUUUCCAUCAGGGUGCUUGUUUAUCGUGAGUCCGCUAUUGAAAUCAGCGAUUUCAGCAUUUAAUUUACUGCAACUAACAUUAUUUCAGAAAUUUUAAAUUUAAGUUAAAAUUUGCGCCCUCUGCAUUUAAUUUACUGUAACUAACAUUAUUUCAGAAAUUUUAAAUCUAAGUUAAAAUUUUUUAAUAUCAGUUUUAUUAAAGUACAGAAAAAACGAAGUAAAAUAGUGCUCUCUAGGACUAAUAUUAUCAUUAUGGCUGAUUAUUCUGCUAAUCACAUUAUUGAUAUGGUGAUAGUUUUAGGCGAAUGCCAGAACAAUUACCGGGCAGCAGCACGGUGGUACGCUGAACGAUUUCCUUUAAGGCGUCAUCUUAGUCAUGUGACGAUACGUGCGUUAACUAUUAGAGCUCGUGGUGGACACCUUAACCGUCAGCGCAGACGUCACGAAUACGAUGAAAAUAAUGCUCGCGUUUUGAAAGUCUUAGCAGUUGUACAUCUUGAUCGUCAAAUCAGCAGUCGCACAAUUGAAAGGGAAAUCGGUAUUCCACGAAAUACUGCUUUAAGAAUUCUUAGAAAUUUAAGAUACCAUGCAUAUCACAUAACUUUGGUUCAAGAAUUAGGGCCAAACCAUAUUCAAAUGCGAAUUGAAUUUUGCCACUGGGCUUUAGCAAGGAUACAACAAGAUCAAGACUUUUUCAGGUAUGUGCUUUUUUCUGAUGAGGCUAAAUUUUACAGUGAUGGACAACUUAAUAGGCAUAAUUGCCACUAUUGUUCAGAUGAAAAUCCGCACUGGUACAGAGCUGUAGAUCAUCAGAAUAGAUGGAGCCUUAUGGUGUGGUGUGGCAUAAUAAAUGGCUACUUAGUUGGACCUUAUUUUUUCGAGGGUAAUGUUAAUAGAAACAGUUAUUUAGAAUUGCUUCGAGAUCGAUUGACAGGGCUGUUUGAAAAUGUUUAUUUAGCAACCAGAAUAAUAAUGUGGUGGCAACAAGAUGGUGCAGGACCUCACUUUGCACUAAUUGUUCGUCAGUUUUUAAAUAACCAUUUUAAUGCAAGAUGGAUCGGACGAGGAAGUCCAGUUAACUGGCCACCUCGCUCACCAGAUUUAACUUCUGAUUUUUAUUUAUGGGGUUACAUUAAAAACGCAGUAUUUUCACAACAGCCCACAACUAGAGCAGACAUGGAAAACCGUAUUCGUCAAGCUUGUAAAACUAUUUCAAGAGAAACUUUAUUAAGAACUGUGCCAAAUUUUCAUAAACGACUGAAUUUGUGCCUUGAAGCUAAUGGUGGUAAUUUUGAACACUUACUUCGUGCUUAACAAUUAUAAAGGUAACAAAAAGUGAGUGGCAAGGGAACUCACGCUAAACAAGCAUCCCAUCGACUAUUUGACCGUGAAAUAACCUUUGACCCUUAGCAUGACGCAUAUGGCUGAAAAAUAUAUUUUACCUUAAAAAACCUUAAAAACGCUGUUAUUUUGACGUUUUGACCUUGAAAUAAUCUUGAAAUGACAUUUGACCCCUAUUAAAAUUCAUAUGGUUGAACGCAGAAUUUCAAGCACUAUCAGAAUCUGGGGUCAAAAAUAGGGGUUCCUAUUUUAAAAAAUGAAGUUGACCUUGAAAUAACUUUGAAAAUCGACUUCAAGGUCAAAUUCAAGGUCACCAUUCAAUUUCCCCCAAAAAUAGAAAACUUUUGUCCCUAAACUUUUUUGAUUUGGGUCAUUACCAGUAAGUUAUUUGACUGGUUAGCUUAAAAUGGGCCACCCUGUAUGAGGACAAGGAUGGUGUUUGUCAACAUUUAGCAGAGAAGAACAAGAUAUUUCUCUGUUUUUGUCGCAGAAGUCCAGGGUGUUUGUUGGUUUCCAGCACGGAAGCGGCAAAGGUGGAUUUUCCCUCCACCGAAAAUCUGAGUUUAACGAUUGCGCGGAUUAGGAUGAAGAUUGAUAUCAUUCGGUAUAAAGAAGAGUUUGCAGUGAUGAAGGACAGCAAUUUUGAAGGAAUAAUGGACGUAGAUGUCGACGAAGAUUCUUACAGAUGAUAUCAAUUAUAUCAGAGACGCUAGUGGCCAAUUUAUAGAAGAGUUUUAUAAAGAAAUAGUUUAACGUUAUGCGUUUCGUGUAUGCUUAGAGUGACAGACUUGUUCAACCGUAUGUAAAUCAUUCGGAAACAUCUGACUAAAAAUCACGAUGCGAUAGAUGGUAUGUAUUACUCCGAUUGCAGAGAUUGGCUAUUUCAAAUAAUGUCAUGCAAUAUAUGUGCCCCAUACGCGCAAAGUAAAUGUUUUAAUUAGUGGAUUUGCGACGACGCAUUCCCCCGGCAAACAACGCGACCGACCGACCAUCCGUCGGUCGCAGAAACGGCGCUACGCGCCAACAAAUGAACACACGCUCGAAGCACGCAAACGACACGUGCACACGUCAACAAUAACAUUUGUUAUUGUUGUUAAGCACGUGUCGGAAAAACCGCGUUUCUCGCGGUAUAAAAGACCGCUCCACCGUGCUAUCGAGACCAGACUCCGCCGGAGUCAGCCGAGAUCGCAAGAUCAGAAGCUGCUCCGGAUCUCAUUCCCAGGUCGAGGGACCGCGACGGUGCGUACGCCAUCGCUGCUGUGAGUUCGCAGCCGACUCGACAAUCCUGUCAUCCGGAAAGUCCGAGGUCGUGCGUACGCGGUUUCUCCCGUGGAAGUCGCGGGCACCGGACUCACAACAACAUCCAUUUCGAGACGGUGUGAUCGCCGUCUCCACCGGGAGCUCCCGUCCCUCUUGCUCGCGGCGGACUUGGGGAUUGGCACGAGUUGGGGUGGUGUGUUCGCCGCCUCUGCGGAGUGUUCUCCAUGUCGGCCCCUCUACUCUAGCCGUUGGGCUCUGCGCCUCCGGGGUAUGCGAACGCCUCGGAAUACUGUUCCGCGUACCGCGCCGUAUCCUUAGAGACAACGCGUGUCUCUCCGCCGCACCUCACCGGAGGUGCCACGACCGCGCUGUGAACCGCGAACCGACCGACCGCCGGCUGCACUUCGGCUAGUCUCGCCCGGCUGACUCUACUGUUUCUGUAAAGAGGCACGAUACCGCGUGUCCUCCGCACCGGGAGUCGACCGACACUCCGCGUGCAGCAAUCACCGAACCGCGUACCGUAAACCGAACCGCGAACCGCGUACCGCGACGCCGAGUCAAGCAGGUGCAUUCCGCCGUUGCACUCCGAUGCGAGACCGUCGAAUUUAAAGCCGCGAAACUUCAACACGCCGAACCGUCAACACCGCGCCCCCUCUCCGCUAACGCCGCGGAAUCCUCGCUGUGAGCAACACAGCUGCUCUAGAUCCGUUCCGGGAACACCGAUCCGCCGAAACACCGAGCGAACCGUCAAUACACGGCCGAAAGAUAAAUACGAGAUUCCGUCACCGGCACUGUCACCGUAAUAUUUACCGGCGUUAAAAGGCGAACAGCAAGCACUUGUCACGAGUAUAAUGUAUGCUUAAACAUCUUGGCAUUAGAAUAAACCAACUAUAUUCAA